rnacentral:rRNA from 1 species
CAGCCGCCGCGGUAAUACGUAGGUGGCAAGCGUUGUCCGGAAUUAUUGGGCGUAAAGGGCUCGCAGGCGGUUUCUUAAGUCUGAUGUGAAAGCCCCCGGCUCAACCGGGGAGGGUCAUUGGAAACUGGGAAACUUGAGUGCAGAAGAGGAGAGUGGAAUUCCACGUGUAGCGGUGAAAUGCGUAGAGAUGUGGAGGAACACCAGUGGCGAAGGCGACUCUCUGGUCUGUAACUGACGCUGAGGAGCGAAAGCAUGGGGAGCGAACAGGAUUAGAUACCCCCGUAGUCCCUGUCUCUUAUAU